CAAAUUGUAUUUGUUUAGUUUGUGGACAAAGACAAGUGGGAAAAAUAAAUUCUUUUUUGUAAUCCAGAACUCAUUGUUCAAGUAUGCGUUUUGAUAUAGGUAAGAAGAAAUAUG
ensembl:snoRNA